GGGCGUAAAGAGCUCGUAGGUGGUUCGUUACGUCGGAUGUGAAAAUCUGGGGCUCAACCCCAGACCUGCAUCCGAUACGGUCGAGCUAGAGUUUGGUAGGGGAGACUGGAAUUCCUGGUGUAGCGGUGGAAUGCGCAGAUAUCAGGAGGAACACCAAUGGCGAAGGCAGGUCUCUGGGCCAAUACUGACACUGAGGAGCGAAAGCGUGGGGAGCGAACAGGAUUAGAUACCCUGGUAGUCCACGCCGUAAACGGUGGGCGCUAGUUGUGGGAACCUUCCACGGUUUCUGCGACGCAGCUAACGCAUUAAGCGCCCCGCCUGGGGAGUACGAUCGCAAGAUUAAAACUCAAAGGAAUUGACGGGGCCCCGCACAAGCAGCGGAGCAUGCGGCUUAAUUCGACGCAACGCGAAGAACCUUACCAAGGCUUGACAUAUACAGGAAUACGGCAGAGAUGUCGUAGCGGUAAAACGUCUGUAUACAGGUGGUGCAUGGUUGUCGUCAGCUCGUGUCGUGAGAUGUUGGGUUAAGUCCCGCAACGAGCGCAACCCUCGUUCUGUGUUGCCAGCAUUUAGUUGGGGACUCACAGGAGACUGCCGGGGUUAACUCGGAGGAAGGUGGGGAUGACGUCAAAUCAUCAUGCCCCUUAUGUCUUGGGCUGCACGCAUGCUACAAUGGCUGGUACAAAGGGCUGCAAUACUGCAAAGUGGAGCGAAUCCCAAAAAGCCAGUCUCAGUUCGGAUUGGGGUCUGCAACUCGACCCCAUGAAGUCGGAGUUGCUAGUAAUCGUAGAUCAGCAACGCUACGGUGAAUACGUUCCCGGGGCUUGUACACACCGCCCGUCACAUCACGAAAGUCGGUAACACCCAAAGUCAGUGGCCCAACCGCAAGGAGGGAGCUGCCAAAGGUGGGAUCGGUGAUUGGGAUGAAGUCGUAACAAGGUAA
rnacentral:rRNA from 1 species